rnacentral:rRNA from 1 species
CUAGUAAUCGCGAAUACAGAAUGUCGCGGUGAAUACGUUCCCGGGUCUUGUACACACCGCCCGUCACACCAUGGGAGUCAGUAACGCCCGAAGCCGGUGAACCCCAACCGAUAAGGAGGGAGCCGUCGAAGGUGGGACCGAUAACUGGGGUGAAGUCGUAACAAGGUACC